UACAGGGGGUGCAAACGUUGCUCGGAAUCAUUGGGCGUAAAGCGCACGUAGGCGGUCUGUUAUGUCGGAUGUGAAAGCCCUUGGCUUAACUGAGGAAGUGCAUCCGAAACUGGCAGGCUAGAGUACUAAAGAGGGUCGCGGAAUUCCCGGUGUAGAGGUGAAAUUCGUAGAUAUUCGGAGGAACACCAGUGGCGAAGGCGGCUCACUGGUCCAUUACUGACGCUGAGGUGCGAAAGCGUGGGGAGCAAACAGG
rnacentral:rRNA from 1 species